UAAUACCAGCUCUCCGAGUGGUGGGGACGAUUAUUGGGCUUAAAGCGUUCGUAGCCGGCUCAGCAAGUCUUCCGUUAAAUCCAACGAUCUAAUCGUUGGGCUGCGGGAGAUACUGUUGGGCUAGGGGGCGGGAGAAGCCGACGGUAUCCUCGGGGUAGGGGUGAAAUCCUAUAAUCCCGGGAAGACCACCAGUGGCGAAGGCGGUCGGCUAGAACGCGCCCGACGGUGAGGGACGAAAGCUGGUGGAGCGAACCGGAUUAGAUACCCGGGUAGUCCCAGCUGUAAACGAUGCAGGCUAGCUGUUGGGGUGGCCACGAGCCAUCUCGGUGGCGCAGGGAAACUGUUAAGCCUGCCGCCUGGGAAGUACGAUCGCAAGAUUG
rnacentral:rRNA from 1 species